rnacentral:rRNA from 1 species
CAGGUCACUCCUACGGGAGGCAGCAGUAGGGAAUCUUGCGCAAUGGGCGAAAGCCUGACGCAGCCAUGCCGCGUGAAUGAUGAAGGUCUUAGGAUUGUAAAAUUCUUUCACCGGGGAAGAUAAUGACGGUACCCGGAGAAGAAGCCCCGGCUAACUUCGUGCCAGCAGCCGCGGUAAUACGAAGGGGGCUAGCGUUGCUCGGAAUUACUGGGCGUAAAGGGCGCGUAGGCGGAUGUUUAAGUCGGGGGUGAAAGCCCGGGGCUCAACCUCGGAAUUGCCUUCGAUACUGGCGGCCUUGAGUAUGGCAGAGGUGUGUGGAACUCCGAGUGUAGAGGUGAAAUUCGUAGAUAUUCGGAAGAACACCAGUGGCGAAGGCGACACACUGGGCCAUUACUGACGCUGAGGCGCGAAAGCGUGGGGAGCAAACAGGAUUAGAUACCCUGGUAGUCCACGCUGUAAACGAUGAGUGCUAGUUGUCGGCAUGCAUGCAUGUCGGUGACGCAGCUAACGCAUUAAGCACUCCGCCUGGGGAGUACGGUCGCAAGAUUAAAACUUAAAGGAAUUGAC